rnacentral:sRNA from 1 species
GAAAAUGGGGAAAAAAUUCAAGUGAGCCAGACUUUGCAGACAGAUUACAUCACAUAUAUGGAUGAGCUGGGCUCUUUCAUAGGGGCCAAGCCUAACAUACCAUGGCUCUUCCUGACAGAUCCCCACCUGGCCCUGGAGGUGUACUUUGGCCCUUGCAGCCCAUACCAGUUUCGACUGAUGGGACCAGGGAAGUGGGAUGGGGCCAGAAAUGCCAUCCUGACCCAAUGGAAAUGGACAGUGAAGCCAACCAGGACAAGAGUUGUCAGUGAAGCUCAGCGACCCCAUCCCUUUUACAAUUUGCUUAAAAUGCUUUCAUUCCCAUUACUCCUUCUGGCUGUUACACUUACAUUUUAUUAAUGAGAAAGUCUUUGAGGUCUCAAAGUUCAGCGUACAAGUGUAAUCACAUAAUACAACACACAAUCACAACAUAGUUCCUCUCUCCUUUCCUGAAGAUAUGAAAAUCAGUCUUGGCCCAUUUGAAUUAAAGUAUAAGUAAAAUGGAAAA